GCGGGGGAGCAGGGUCACCUGGAGCAAGUGACACAGGGACACAUCCAGGAGGGUCUGGAAUGACCCCAGACACUCCAGCUGUUCCAGGGCUCUGCCCCACUCCAUGGGGAGAAGUUCUCCCUCAUGCUGAGGAAACCUUGUUAGAUUUUUGGGGAAUUUGCAGGGGGUUAUUGCAUUUUCAGGAAGGGACUUGGGAACUGUAUAAAAGUCCUUGGAGGGGAGAGCAACUCAUUCACUCAGCUCCGCUCCUCCUCAAGAGCCUUCACAGCCCAGCUUUCCAACCUUCUCUCACCCAGCCCAAAGAUGUGCUCCCGUGAGAACAGAGGCUGCCACAGCUCCGAGAGCUCCUCCUGCCACGGCGGCAGCUCCUCCUGCCACGACAGCGACCGCUCCUGCCACGGCUCCG